rnacentral:rRNA from 1 species
GGAGUCUGGGCCGUAUCUCAGUCCCAAUGUGGCCGUUCAACCUCUCAGUCCGGCUACUGAUCGUUGCCUUGGUGGGCUGUUACCCCGCCAACAAGCUAAUCAGAUAUGAGUCCAUCUUUCAGCGGAUUGCUCCUUUGGUAUCCAGGUGAUGCCACCCAAAUACAUUAUGCGGUAUUAGCAGUCGUUUCCAACUGUUGUCCCCCUCUGAAAGGCAGGUUGCUCAUACAUUACUCACCCGUCCGCCACUAAGUCAUACCCGGCUUCGACGAAUCUCCGUCAGAUAUGCUUCGUUCGACUUGCAUGUGUUAAGCCUGUAGCUAGCGUUCAUC